AGUCCCAGGCUCGCCCAGGCCCGGCCGCCGGCCCGCGCGCACCUGCAGACGCUGCACGUCUUAAGUUUCGAAACGGCCCCCCUCUCCGCCCUGGGGGAGCCGGGAGGAUGUGCAGCCCCAGUCCUCCUGCUCGGCGGAGCCUCGCGCGCGCAGAGCCUAGCGCGAUUCGCGCCCUCAUUACUACUACAAAGCGCGGGCCAGACCAAUCCCCUUUCUAAUGCACCAUUUUCGACUGAGAACAUCAAGAGGCCAGAAACUUCCAAGUCAGCUUGCAGACGCAGACGCCUCCUGGGGUCCUGGCUUUAAGAACCAGAUGCCAACACUCCCGGACAGUUUAUGGCAUCCGGAUCCCUCAAGGGUGCUCAUCUGCAGUUGAGAGUCUAAUAAAUGGCAUUAACAAAGCGUUUCAGCGACUACCACGGCUUCACAGUGGCUCCUCCCCUGCCCUGCCACCAUUCAGGCUGUAAUUCCUUCCAGGAUUCCCGCACCAUCCUGUGUGCCCAGAGCUCUCUAGAGCACCAGGUAGAACUCCGUGCUAAAUCCAAUUGCUUGCAAUCUUCUGAUCCCCUUUUAGGGAGAUCACUUUUCAGCUUGGUUCAAAGAAAGCAAAGUUUGGGAAGUUUGGCGGAGGGGCCGACUUAACUACGGGCACUGCAAAUAUUUUGUUACAAAUGCUGUGAAGUGCCCCGAUUUGUGGCUGCGUUAGCUUUCACAAAGGAUUUUCCUGUGUCUUUUGUUCCGAUCACCAAAUUAAAAGAGAAAAUUAACUUGAGUGAGA
ensembl:lncRNA ID2-AS1 ID2 antisense RNA 1